CAGCACCUCAAGUGGUCAGGAUGAUUAUUGGGCCUAAAGCAUCCGUAGCCGGCGCUGUAAGUUUUCGGUUAAAUCUGUACGCUCAACGUACAGGCUGCCGGGAAUACUGCAGCGCUAGGGAGUGGGAGAGGUAGACGGUACUCGGUAGGAAGGGGUAAAAUCCUUUGAUCUAUUGAUGACCACCUGUGACGAAGGCGGUCUACCAGAACACGUCCGACGGUGAGGGAUGAAAGCUGGGGGAGCAAACCGGAUUAGAUACCCGUGUAGUCC
rnacentral:rRNA from 1 species